GACGAACGCUGGCGGCGUGCUUAACACAUGCAAGUCGAACGGAAAGGCCCUGCUUUUGUGGGGUGCUCGAGUGGCGAACGGGUGAGUAGCACGUGAGUAACCUGCCCUUGACUUUGGGAUAACUUCAGGAAACUGGGGCUAAUACCGGAUAGGAGCUCCUGCUGCAUGGUGGGGGUUGGAAAGUUUCGGCGGUUGGGGAUGGACUCGCGGCUUAUCCGCUUGUUGGUGGGGUAGUGGCUUACCAAGGCUUUGACGGGUAGCCGGCCUGAGAGGGUGACCGGCCACAUUGGGACUGAGAUACGGACCAGACUCCUACGGGAGGCAGCAGUGGGGAAUAUUGCACAAUGGGCGGAAGCCUGAUGCAGCAACGCCGCGUGCGGGAUGACGGCCUUCGGGUUGUAAACCGCUUUCGCCUGUGACGAAGCGUGAGUGACGGUAAUGGGUAAAGAAGCACCGGCUAACUACGUG
rnacentral:rRNA from 1 species